CAACGCCGCGUGAGUGAAGAAGGGUCUCGGCUCGUAAAGCUCUGUUGGUAGUGAAGAAAGAUAGAGGUAGUAACUGGCCUUUAUUUGACGGUAAUUACUUAGAAAGUCACGGCUAACUACGUGCCAGCAGCCGCGGUAAUACGUAGGUGGCAAGCGUUGUCCGGAUUUAUUGGGCGUAAAGCGAGUGCAGGCGGUUCAAUAAGUCUGAUGUGAAAGCCUUCGGCUCAACCGGAGAAUUGCAUCAGAAACUGUUGAACUUGAGUGCAGAAGAGGAGAGUGGAACUCCAUGUGUAGCGGUGGAAUGCGUAGAUAUAUGGAAGAACACCAGUGGCGAAGGCGGCUCUCUGGUCUGCAACUGACGCUGAGGCUCGAAAGCAUGGGUAGCGAACAGGAUUAGAUACCCUGGUAGUCCAUGCCGUAAACGAUGAGUGCUAAGUGUUGGGAGGUUUCCGCCUCUCAGUGCUGCAGCUAACGCAUUAAGCACUCCGCCUGGGGAGUACGACCGCAAGGUUGAAACUCAAAGGAAUUGACGGGGGCCCGCACAAGCGGUGGAGCAUGUGGUUUAAUUCGAAGCUACGCGAAGAACCUUACCAGGUCUUGACAUACUAUGCAAAUCUAAGAGAUUAGACGUUCCC
rnacentral:rRNA from 1 species